rnacentral:lncRNA from 7 species
ACAAAAGCUAGUGUACUCUUCAGUUUCAGGUUUGAUGAGUCCUGUGAGCCUCGCAGGACUGAGGGUGUGCAGCCCCUACGGUUGCCUUUCAGGUAGCAAGCGAUCAGCUGUCUCCCGUGUAUGGUGAAAGAGCUCAAUCUGUGGCCAUGUGAAAUCUCAACGACGUGCAGUGCCUGUCUCUGCUGUGGCCUGGAUGGAGGUAAAGGAGAGCGACCCUUCCACAGCAGCAAUUUCCUCUUCCCAGAAUAACGGCAUUCAUAUUUUAUGGGCAAUAGUUUUUGAGAACCUCAUUUUGUAUUCACGGAAAAUCACGUUAAUAGGCGAGAAUCCCCAGACCAUUAGGAGGAAUUUGAGGUGAUGCUGACAAAGGGGAGCGAUGAAUGAGGAACCUCCUGACCAGCGCGGUGCCACCCCUCAGGAAAGCUGGGCGCAGGCCAUGGGGCUUUGUGCUGCACAGCCAUCUGGAGCAGGCGAUUACACGGUUUGCAAUUAGCUCCUGGUGUCAGGAUGCUCCGGUCGCGGAGUUCCUCCAACAUAGCGGUUUCUGCGGCACUAAGUCACUAAUCACGCCUGGGAUGCCUGCAGGCGAUUGCUGCUGGCAGUGCUUUCUUCAGUAUUUAACCUGUGCGUUUUUGAACAGCAGUCUUUCUUGUACUUCUCUUAUUAACUUCGUUUUGGAGCUUAUCAUUGAUUUUUUUUUUCCCACCCUAUUCUUUUUUUUUUCUUUUAACAGCACCUGAUGUGUGUUUGUAAUUAAUUAUUUAGUGGGCACGGUACGACAUAAAAGGGAAUAUUUUACAAACGAUUCUAUUUUUCUCCUUUUUGUGGCUUUUUGCCCCGUGCUCUUGUGAUCUCCCAACAGCUGAUCUCCUGGAUGAUGAAAGCGACCGCUAAUGGGCUCUCGCUCGUACAUGGUUCUAGGUGUGCUGCAUUUCAGCCCCUGCGUGGAGGAUAAAUUCCUUAAUGGAGAUUUGGAGAGAGUUUUUUCACACGUAGCACAAGCAUGCUAAUGGAUGGCUAAAGCCAAUUCCGUUCUUGGGUUUCAAAUUAAUUUCCAUGAAAGCUCUGGGCUUAAUUCGGUUGAGAAUGUGCUCUUAAUUCAAUAAAAGAAGAACGG